AUAUGGAAAGAAAAUCAGCAAGUUUGAGUUUUGGAGACGAGUCUAAACCUGGCUGCGCAUUGGAUCACCUGGAAACUAACAAAGAAACAAACACAACAGACCAAUAGAAUCCUGGGCUGCACUCAGACCCAGGGCAUCAGACUCUCAGCCCGGAAUCUGUAUGUCUGACGAGUACCUCUUGUAAUUCACGAGUGUGCUGCCCAGCACGAGGGAGGACUGGAGACAGGAAGCAUCUGGAAUCAUAGGAAGCGCCGGAGAAGUCCCGGGUCCUGGUUGUAGUCAAGGAGGUGCUUCCAGGUUUUUACUUACUUCUUCACCUCUCAGCUCAGUUACUUUCUGGACUUCCUGUUCUGUUUCCUGCUUCCACAAAAGCCUAGCUCUUAAUAUUUUUUUAAAUUAAAACUUCCACCAGCCAAAGGAAAGCAAUCCAUCUUUCUUCUCUACACAGUUUGAAGGAGAAACAGCCCAAGAGUGACUCUAACAAGUCACAGCAGAAAAUUAGAGGAAAGUUGACUCACCUUUUGCACCAUGCAUGCCACUCUCUGCUGCUUGCCAACAAUUGCUAACCUCAUGCGGGAUGUACCUAUGUCUAAAAAUGCAACCUCAAGAUGAGAGCCCCCUGUGACACCCAGCCUUCAGCAUCCUUGUGAUGUAUGAUAUUGGAGGAUGCUGUUGGGAACAUCUGGGAGGUGGUCCAAAGGCCUUUCAGGGAACGCUGUAUUUUGAACGCCAGAUGAGGAAGCCAGAUGUUUUUCUCGUCUCCACCCACUGCACGGCUGCUGUUUGCCAAGGAUCGGGGCUGGUGGGGGCAGGGGUUUCUCAGCCCAUCAGCUCGGCCGCAGACCUGCUGAAAACCUGCCUUCGGCUUCACGGAGCAUUUAAAAGAACCUCCGAUCCCCUUGGCCGGUCCACACAGGCUGACCCAGCUGCUGCCACCUCCUCCUCACCUCGUUGGUGCUCCACUCCAGACGCUCCAGCACUUUCCUGCUGUCGUGAAAGCUGCUGUCUGAGUGAAGGACUGAAUCAUGUUCUUCGGUUCGAGACACGUUGA
rnacentral:lncRNA from 1 species